UACGAAGGGGGGCUAGCGUUGUUCGGAUUUACUGGGCGUAAAGCGCACGUAGGCGGAUCGAUCAGUCAGGGGUGAAAUCCCAGAGCUCAACUCUGGAACUGCCUUUGAUACUGUCGAUCUGGAGUAUGGAAGAGGUGAGUGGAAUUCCGAGUGUAGAGGUGAAAUUCGUAGAUAUUCGGAGGAACACCAGUGGCGAAGGCGGCUCACUGGUCCAUUACUGACGCUGAGGUGCGAAAGCGUGGGGAGCAAACAGG
rnacentral:rRNA from 1 species